AACCUUUACACUGCACGCCAGUGCGAUAAGGGAAUCCCAAGUGCGUAGGCAUAGAGCCUACGCUUUUGUACACCGUAGGGAGGUGUACGAAUAAGGGCUGGGCAAGACCGGUGCCAGCCGCCGCGGUAAUACCGGCAGCCCGAGUGAUGGCCGAUCUUAUUGGGCCUAAAGCGUCCGUAGCUGGCCGCACAAGUCCAUCGGAAAAUCCACCCGCCCAACGGGUGGGCGUCCGGUGGAAACUGUGUGGCUUGGGACCGGAAGGCGCGACGGGUACGUCCGGGGUAGGAGUGAAAUCCCGUAAUCCUGGACGGACCGCCGAUGGCGAAAGCACGUCGCGAGGACGGAUCCGACAGUGAGGGACGAAAGCCAGGGUCUCGAACCGGAUUAGAUACCCGGGUAGUCCUGGCCGUAAACGAUGUCCGCUAGGUGUGGCGCAGGCUACGAGCCUGCGCUGUGCCGUAGGGAAGCCGUGAAGCGGACCGCCUGGGAAGUACGUCUGCAAGGAUGAAACUUAAAGGAAUUGGCGGGGGAGCAC
rnacentral:rRNA from 1 species